GAGUUUGAUCCUGGCUCAGAUUGAACGCUGGCGGCAGGCCUAACACAUGCAAGUCGAACGGUAACAGGAUUAGCUUGCUAAUCGCUGACGAGUGGCGGACGGGUGAGUAAUGCUUGGGAACUUGCCUUCAGGAGGGGGAUAACAGUUGGAAACGACUGCUAAUACCGCAUAAUGUCUUUGGACCAAAGCGGGCUUCGGCUCGCACCUGAAGAGAGGCCCAAGUGAGAUUAGCUAGUUGGUAAGGUAAAGGCUUACCAAGGCGACGAUCUCUAGCUGUUCUGAGAGGAAGAUCAGCCACACUGGGACUGAGACACGGCCCAGACUCCUACGGGAGGCAGCAGUGGGGAAUAUUGCACAAUGGGGGAAACCCUGAUGCAGCCAUGCCGCGUGUGUGAAGAAGGCCUUCGGGUUGUAAAGCACUUUCAGUUGUGAGGAAAGGAUGGUAAAUAAUCCUGCCAGCUGUGACGUAACACGAAGAAGCACCGACUAACUCGUGCAAGCAGCGCGUAUACGGAGGGUGCGAGCGUAAUCGACUACUGGGCGUAAAGCGCACGCAGCGGUUUGUUAAGCUAGAUGUGAAAGCCCCGGGCUCAACCUGGGAUGGUCAUUUAGAACUGGCAGACUAGAGUCUUGGAGAGGGGAGUGGAAUUCCAGGUGUAGCGGUGAAAUGCGUAGAUAUCUGGAGGAACAUCAGUGGCGAAGGCGGCUCCCUGGCCAAAGACUGACGCUCAUGUGCGAAAGUGUGGGUAGCGAACAGGAUUAGAUACCCUGGUAGUCCACACCGUAAACGCUGUCUACUAGCUGUGUGUGAAUUUAAUUCGUGCGUAGCGAAGCUAACGCGCUAAGUAGACCGCCUGGGGAGUACGGCCGCAAGGUUAAAACUCAAUGAAUUGACGGGGGCCCGCACAAGCGGUGGAGCAUGUGGAUUAAUUCGAAGCACGCGCAGACCUAACACCCCUGACAUCCUCGAACGCCAGAGAGAUUGCUUCACUUCGUGACG
rnacentral:rRNA from 1 species